GACGAACGCUGGCGGCGUGCUUAACACAUGCAAGUCGAACGGAAAGGCCCUGCUUUUGUGGGGUGCUCGAGUGGCGAACGGGUGAGUAACACGUGAGUAACCUGCCCUUGACUUUGGGAUAACUUCAGGAAACUGGGGCUAAUACCGGAUAGGAGCUCCUGCUGCAUGGUGGGGGUUGGAAAGUUUCGGCGGUUGGGGAUGGACUCGCGGCUUAUCAGCUUGUUGGUGGGGUAGUGGCUUACCAAGGCUUUGACGGGUAGCCGGCCUGAGAGGGUGACCGGCCACAGUGGGACUGGGGUACGGCCCAGACUCCUACGGGAGGCAUCAGUGGGGAAUAUUGCGCAAUGGGCGGAAGCCUGAUGCAGCAACGCCGCGUGCGGGAUGACGGCCUUCGGGUUGUAAACCGUUUUCGCCUGUGACGAAGCGUGAGUGACGGUAAUGGGUAAAGAAGCACCGGCUAACUACGUG
rnacentral:rRNA from 1 species